rnacentral:rRNA from 1 species
GUAGGAGAGCGUUCUAUGUGUGAUGAAGGUAUACCGUGAGGAGUGCUGGAACGCAUAGAAGUGAGAAUGCCGGUAUGAGUAGCGAAAGACAGGUGAGAAUCCUGUCCACCGUAAGACUAAGGUUUCCAGGGGAAGGCUCGUCCGCCCUGGGUUAGUCGGGACCUAAGGAGAGACCGAAAGGUGUAUCCGAUGGACAACAGGUUGAUAUUCCUGUACUAGAGUAUGUAGUGAUGGAGGGACGCAGUAGGCUAACUAAAGCAGACGAUUGGAAGAGUCUGUCUAAGCAGUGAGGUGUGAAUUGAGUCAAAUGCUUAAUUCUAUAACAUUGAGCUGUGAUGGGGAGCGAAGUUUAGUAGCGAAGUUAGUGACGUCACACUGCCAAGAAAAGCUUCUAGCGUUUAAACAUACUCUACCCGUACCGCAAACCGACACAGGUAGUCGAGGCGAGUAGCCUCAGGUGAGCGAGAGAACUCUCGUUAAGGAACUCGGCAAAAUGACCCCGUAACUUCGGGAGAAGGGGUGCCAUCACUGGUGAUUGGAUUUGCUCCAUGAGCUGGGGGUGGCCGCAGAGACCAGCGAGAAGCGACUG